GGCCGGAUGGUCUAGUGGUAUGAUUCUCGCUUAGGGUGCGAGAGGUCCCGGGAUCGAUCCCCGGUUCGGCCC
ensembl:tRNA